rnacentral:tRNA from 1 species
GCGGGCGUGGUUCAAUGGUAGAACACUAGCCUUCCAAGCUUGUGACGAGGGUUCGAUUCCCUUCGCCCGCU